AUUGAACGCUGGCGGCAGGCUUAACACAUGCAAGUCGAACGAUGAUUUCCCAGCUUGCUGGGAAUGAUUAGUGGCGGACGGGUGAGUAACAUUUAGGAAUCUGCCUAGUAGUGGGGGAUAGCUCGGGGAAACUCGAAUUAAUACCGCAUACGACCUACGGGUGAAAGGGGGCGCAAGCUCUUGCUAUUAGAUGAGCCUAAAUCAGAUUAGCUAGUUGGUGGGGUAAAGGCCCACCAAGGCGACGAUCUGUAACUGGUCUGAGAGGAUGAUCAGUCACUCCGGAACUGAGACACGGUCCGGACUCCUACGGGAGGCAGCAGUGGGGAAUAUUGGACAAUGGGGGCAACCCUGAUCCAGCCAUGCCGCGUGUGUGAAGAAGGCCUUUUGGUUGUAAAGCACUUUAAGCAGGGAGGAGAGGCUAAUGGUUAAUACCCAUUAGAUUAGACGUUACCUGCAGAAUAAGCACCGCCUAACUCUGUGCCAGCAGCCGCGGUAACAC
rnacentral:rRNA from 1 species